AAACGGAAGAAAAGAGCCACCAGGAGCUCUCCUCCUGCCCCGGCAGCGUGGUGGCGCGGGAGCGAGCGGCGGCAGCAGGUUGCUGUAUGUGCGCACACGGCGUCAGGGAGCCUGGGGCAAACACCGCGGUUCAUCAUUUCAGCACCAGAUUUCUCUUGUUGCUGCUGUGGCACCUGGGGAAACACAGAUGCAGUCGGUAUUGCUACUCCUGAGGAGCGAGUAGGUGCAGGGAAGGCGUGCUGGAGCCUCUGAACACUGCAGGGCAGUCCGAAGAGGAGCUGUGUUUGCAAGCAGAGUCCUGGGGAUGCAGUGAAUCUCACUGCUCUCUCUGAAGUAGGGUGUUCAUCUCUUCGGUGGAGCUCUGCUAGAAGACACUUUGUGGAGCAGAUUCCAAGGAAGGAUGUGGGCUUUGCUUUCUUCAUUUCUAUCCAUCUAGCUUUCAGAAGAAGCCCAGCAUCCUAGGCAGGUUCCUGGCUCUGUACGGCACCGGCAGAAGGCAAAUCGCUCUGUUGGGAACAGAAGGAGCCAACUUCUACCUCGCUCGGAUCCAUGGAGGGCCCACAAUCAGCAAUGCUGCCCUCAAGCAGGGAAAUCUCAUACUCUGGAGCUGAUGCUUGAUUUCAGAGAGACCCUACACCUGCUGAUGCAGCCAUAUUUCUUCCUGAUCCAACUAGAUUUUCCUCAGGUGCCUCUUCUGCAAGCAUUGCCUAAAUCCACCCUUCUUUGGGAAGACUUGAGUCAUCACUCAUAGGGAAAGGGAUGUAGAAAUGAAACUGAGUGCUAGGAUGUCAAAGCCAAAGUGCAUUUUUGAAUUUUUAGGUCAGGUUUGAUCACCAUUAUGUAUUCAGAAUCAGUCCUAGGCUAAUUAUAGUUUCCACAUUUUUAGGAAAUUGGAAUUUCAUAUAUGGUAACCUUGCUGUUCUCUCCAUAUUCACUGGUUUUCUAUAAAUAAUACAAUUCGGUUAUAAUAACCCCUGGAAUGGUUCACUAAAAUGAGAAAGGAGACUUUAUUCACUGAAGUAAAGAGAGGAAGACAUUCAUAGGUGGUGGUUAGAG
rnacentral:lncRNA from 1 species